rnacentral:rRNA from 1 species
GAUGAACGCUGGCGGCGUGCCUAAUACAUGCAAGUCGAGCGAACAGACGAGGAGCUUGCUCCUCUGACGUUAGCGGCGGACGGGUGAGUAACACGUGGAUAACCUACCUAUAAGACUGGGAUAACUUCGGGAAACCGGAGCUAAUACCGGAUAAUAUAUUGAACCGCAUGGUUCAAUAGUGAAAGACGGCUUUGCUGUCACUUAUAGAUGGAUCCGCGCCGCAUUAGCUAGUUGGUAAGGUAACGGCUUACCAAGGCGACGAUGCGUAGCCGACAUGAGAGGGGGAUCGGCCACACUGGAACUGAGACACGGUCCAGACUCCUACGGGAGGCAGCAGUAGGGAAUCUUCCGCAAUGGGCGAAAGCCUGACGGAGCAACGCCGCGUGAGUAAUGAAGGUCUUCGGAUCGUAAAACUCUGUUAUUAGGGAAGAACAAAUGUGUAAGUAACUAUGCACGUCUUGACGGUACCUAAUCAGAAAGCCACGGCUAACUACGUG